rnacentral:rRNA from 1 species
UACGGGGGGAGCAAGCGUUGUUCGGAAUCACUGGGCGUAAAGCGUGCGCAGGCGGUUCGUUGUGUCGGCGGUGAAAGCCCCGGGCUCAACCUGGGAAUGGCCGUUGAAACUGGCGAACUGGAGUGUGGCAGAGGGGGGUGGAAUUCCGCGUGUAGCAGUGAAAUGCGUAGAGAUGCGGAGGAACACCGAUGGCGAAGGCAGCCCCCUGGGCUAACACUGACGCUCAGGCACGAAAGCGUGGGGAGCAAACAGG